rnacentral:miRNA from 1 species
UCCAUUGCCCACCUUGUUCACG